GUCAAACUUGACUCUCGGUCUUCAUUGAAUUCUGCGCUGUAUCCCCCUUGCUGAGUGCGAACGAAGAAAUGGAGAUAAAAUCACCGAGGGCUUCAUUAAUUUCUUCCGGCAGCUUGAAUGUUCGUAAACGGCCUGUCUCUACUUCCGGUUCUCCAGGCUGGGAAUGAGUACAUCGCUGGUAGGAGUGGGCGAAGAGAUGCUUCUCGGAAGAGCUCAGCAGCCCUCCCCACGGCCCCUCCGAGCUGUUCCCUCCAGGUGCACAGCUUUAGCUCGGCAUAUCCCUCUGCCACUAACCAGCGACGCGUACCAACAAGUUAAUUCUUAUUGGAACUCUGCAACUUGGCUAUAAUAUUGUAGGUUAGCAAAACGGAGUAAAACAUUGAAAAUCAUUAACUUGCUGAUUUGCUUCUAUAAAUUGCUUCGCAAAUGUUAUCUCUCUGUUCACUGUUCUAACUACGUGGUGACCGCUAUGUGGCUCUCUGUUGGAAUUAUCAGAAGGUGCUAACCUCGCUGGUAAAUUUGCCUGCUUUCUAAACAGACAACUUAGAUCGUAAAUGGCACUCCCGCCCCCCCCCCACUGUUCGAAGCUGACCUGCAGGGGACCAGCCCUCACACCACUAUCUAUGGGUCUCCGAGUGAGGGGUUGAUGUCAAAAAACACAGAUACAGUGAAUGGCGGUAAUGCCACACUUUACUUGAUUUCUAAGAUGCUCAUAUAGUGAAGUGAUUUAAUUAUUACAUUAUUAAAAGAUGAAUGAUACUUAGGUGAAGAAUAACAUGUUCUGGGAAAAGGGCUCAAUUUCAUAGUAAAGGAAACAGAAAGUCACAAACAAGAAUGAAAGUCAUUAAGUAGGGUCUGUUUCUACGUAUAUGGUGAAAGAUUAACAGAAUCACAAAAGGGCAUCAAUUUCUCUGAGGGUACAAUCAUGGCUUGCGGGCAAGGUGUAAGAAAACCUACCAGGCAGGUGCUAGACCUGAGGGUGCCGACCAUUUCUUUCCUGCCCAGGUCUGAAGUGCAUGGUCUCAAGAGAGCAGUCACACAUUCCUAGCCUGUCUGUCCCAAUGUUUUUCUUAAUAGUCUGACCAUGGCCCCUUUCCCCAACCUGUGAUCUUUGCUUUGGUAAUAAACACAUAGUUUACAAUGCUUCAGGCCAAGGACAGCACCUACAGAUACUUUCUAUUAUAUUCUUAUCCUAAAGUUAUAAGUCUUAACGGUUUUACUUAAGUCAAAUCAUAAAAUAAUUUCUUGAUUUAUCUAAAUGUCCUAUAUGAGAAAUAUAGUUUCAGUAAAGAGUAUUUAGUUCAAAUCGUCAGAGUUUAGAAAGCUAGCAGCAUAUAUAUUGCAGGCUCUAAGGAAUUGCUUUGCAUCCUCCUUUCUCUCCCAAAGGGAAACUGAGGAAUUGCUUUGCACAUUCCUUUUUCCCAGGGAGAAUCUGCCAGUCUCUCUGGAGGCUUUGCCAUCACAGAUCUUAUCCUGGCCUCUCCGGAGGCCUUGCCAUCACGGAGUCUUCUGCCCGCCUUACUCUGAGAUCCUAUGGACCUCAGCACAAAGCAUAGGUGUGGGAAGUCACGCAGUCACUGUCUCACAGAACCUGGAGUGCCUGACUGUAAUCGGUCAUUCCAAGACCGUCUUAAGACAAAGAACUUUAAAACUGACAGGGUCCUGCCAGAACUACUGUCUGUUUGUAAAAAUGUGACUGGGUGUCCUGAAAUGCUGUGAACUGUAAUUGGUUAACUGGAAAAUGAUGUUUUAUGCUUGCUAAAGUCCAUAUAAGCUCACUGCUACCUUUGUUUGGGGCCAUUCUCUGCUCCUUAACACCAGGAAGAUCAGAUUUGGCCCGGCCGUAAAUAAAAUCUUGCCUCGCUUCUAUUCGGCGUUUGGUGGUCUUUAUCAUCACCCUGUUACAUAACUACUCCUAUUUUGCAGAUGAAGAGACAGAGACUUUGGAAAAUCCUAGAACUUUCUAAAGGCACAUGGCCCCAUGUUGAUGGGUAGCAGGGACCAGUGUAGCUCAAGAUCACACCUAGGUUUUCUCUGGCUUCAGGUUGUGCCUCUCGAAAGCAAUGCCAAGUCCCGGCUCAUCACUUUCUAGAUGUCCACUUCCCACUCACAAACACAGGCUUAUCAAAUAAUACAAUUAUGCUAUUAUCACUCAACUACAUUGCUGUUCCUUUUUGCUUGGCCUCAACCUGAGUGGCUCAAUCGGUUAAGCGUCCAACUUCGGCUCAGGUCGUGGUUUCGUGGUUUGUGGGUUUGAGCCCCGUGUCGGGCUCUGUGCUGACAGCUUGGAGCUUGGAGCUGCUUUCAGAUUCUGUGUCUCCUUCUCUCUUUCUCUCUCUGCUCCUCCCUGACUCCUGCUCUGUCUCUC
ensembl:lncRNA